AAAUUGAAGAGUUUGAUCAUGGCUCAGAUUGAACGCUGGCGGCAGGCCUAACACAUGCAAGUCGAGCGGUAGCACAGAGAGCUUGCUCUCGGGUGACGAGCGGCGGACGGGUGAGUAAUGUCUGGGAAACUGCCUGAUGGAGGGGGAUAACUACUGGAAACGGUAGCUAAUACCGCAUAAUGUCGCAAGACCAAAGUGGGGGACCUUCGGGCCUCAUGCCAUCAGAUGUGCCCAGAUGGGAUUAGCUAGUAGGUGGGGUAACGGCUCACCUAGGCGACGAUCCCUAGCUGGUCUGAGAGGAUGACCAGCCACACUGGAACUGAGACACGGUCCAGACUCCUACGGGAGGCAGCAGUGGGGAAUAUUGCACAAUGGGCGCAAGCCUGAUGCAGCCAUGCCGCGUGUGUGAAGAAGGCCUUCGGGUUGUAAAGCACUUUCAGCGGGGAGGAAGGCGGUGAGGUUAAUAACCUCACCGAUUGACGUUACCCGCAGAAGAAGCACCGGCUAACUCCGUGCCAGCAGCCGCGGUAAUACGGAGGGUGCAAGCGUUAAUCGGAAUUACUGGGCGUAAAGCGCACGCAGGCGGUCUGUCAAGUCGGAUGUGAAAUCCCCGGGCUCAACCUGGGAACUGCAUUCGAAACUGGCAGGCUAGAGUCUUGUAGAGGGGGGUAGAAUUCCAGGUGUAGCGGUGAAAUGCGUAGAGAUCUGGAGGAAUACCGGUGGCGAAGGCGGCCCCCUGGACAAAGACUGACGCUCAGGUGCGAAAGCGUGGGGAGCAAACAGGAUUAGAUACCCUGGUAGUCCACGCCGUAAACGAUGUCGAUUUGGAGGUUGUGCCCUUGAGGCGUGGCUUCCGGAGCUAACGCGUUAAAUCGACCGCCUGGGGAGUACGGCCGCAAGGUUAAAACUCAAAUGAAUUGACGGGGGCCCGCACAAGCGGUGGAGCAUGUGGUUUAAUUCGAUGCAACGCGAAGAACCUUACCUGGUCUUGACAUCCACAGAACUUUCCAGAGAUGGAUUGGUGCCUUCGGGAACUGUGAGACAGGUGCUGCAUGGCUGUCGUCAGCUCGUGUUGUGAAAUGUUGGGUUAAGUCCCGCAACGAGCGCAACCCUUAUCCUUUGUUGCCAGCGGUCCGGCCGGGAACUCAAAGGAGACUGCCAGUGAUAAACUGGAGGAAGGUGGGGAUGACGUCAAGUCAUCAUGGCCCUUACGACCAGGGCUACACACGUGCUACAAUGGCAUAUACAAAGAGAAGCGACCUCGCGAGAGCAGGCGGACCUCAUAAAGUAUGUCGUAGUCCGGAUUGGAGUCUGCAACUCGACUCCAUGAAGUCGGAAUCGCUAGUAAUCGUAGAUCAGAAUGCUACGGUGAAUACGUUCCCGGGCCUUGUACACACCGCCCGUCACACCAUGGGAGUGGGUUGCAAAAGAAGUAGGUAGCUUAACCUUCGGGAGGGCGCUUACCACUUUGUGAUUCAUGACUGGGGUGAAGUCGUAACAAGGUAACCGUAGGGGAACCUGCGGUUGGAUCACCUCCUUA
rnacentral:rRNA from 1 species